rnacentral:lncRNA from 1 species
GGAACAAUUAACUCUUUCUUUGCCGUGAACAAAUGAGCUACUUCCCCUACAAAUACCUUUCCCCAACCCUUCUCCUUGCACUGCAAUCUCAAUUUUCAAACUAGUUUUCAUAAGUCAUCCAAAUUAAUUAUCAAGGUAAGUUUCUUAUGUUCGUCUUAAAUUAUUGCGGUUAAAAAUCAUUUUUUUUAUUGAAUUUGUAAACAUAUAGGGUUGUUCCUUGGUGGUGGACAUUUUUCUCUUUUUGAUUAUGUUCUUUGAAAUAUCUUCAUUCCAUGUUGAAAGUAAAUUAUUUGUGUAAGAAUCUUGUAAUUGAUUUUAUGAUUAUAGCUUUUUUUGUGCUAAUAUAAGAUCUUGAUUUGUAUUUUUGAUACCCUUGUGAAAGUGAAUUAUUUGUGUUAGAAUCUAGUCAUUAAUGUUUUGAUUAUAUCUUUUUUGGUUAGUAUAAGAUCUUGAAUUGUAUUCUUGAAAGUUUCUUUUUUGUUAGUUUACGACCUUGAAUUAUAUUCUUGAAAGCCUUUUAUUCCUUGGUGAAAGGUAAAUAUUUGUGUAAUCUUGAAUCAAUUUCAUGAGUAUGGCUUUAUUUCUUUCGAGUACAUUUUACCCCAAUUAAUGGGUGCUGGAAAUUUUAUUUUGUAACUGAGAUCUAGAAUUAUAACUUAACCCAAUGGUGAAAUGAAUUAUUUGUUUUAGAAUUUCAUUAUAACUUUAUGAUUAUGGCUUUGUUUUCCCAAAAAAAAAUUUAAAUUAAAAAUUAAAUUAAAUUAAAGAAAAAUCUUACCCCAGUUAGUGGUUGCUAGAAAUUUUAGUUCUGUAAUCUAAGAUCUCGAAUGAUACAGAUGCAGAUCUUUGUUAAGACCCUAACAGGCAAGACCAUAACUCUUGAGGUCGAGAGUUCAGACACAAUUUAAUGUUAAAGCUAAGAUUCAAGAUAAGGAAGGAAUCCCUCCGGACCAACAACGUUUGAUCUUCGCUGGUAAACAACUAGAGGAUGGCCGGACACUAGCGGACUACAACAUCCAGAAGGAGUCCACCCUCCACCUGGUUGUCCGCCUCCGUGGUGGCAUGCAAAUUUUUGUCAAGACCUUGACAGGAAAAACAAUAACCUUGGAGGUUGAGAGUUCUGAUACGAUUGACAAUGUUAAAGCUAAGAUUCAAGAUAAGGAAGGGAUCCCUCCGGAUCAACAACGUUUGAUCUUUGCUGGAAAACAGCUGGAGGAUGGACGGACUCUGGCAGACUACAACAUCCAAAAAGAGUCUACCCUCCACCUGGUCCUCCGCCUUCGUGGUGGCAUGCAAAUCUUUGUCAAAACGUUAACAGGAAAAACAAUAACCUUGGAAGUUGAGAGUUCAGACACAAUUGAUAAUGUUAAGGCGAAAAUUCAAGAUAAAGAAGGAAUCCCUCCGGACCAACAAAGGCUUAUAUUUGCAGGCAAACAACUUGAAGAUGGGAGGACCCUUGCGGAUUAUAAUAUCCAGAAGGAGUCGACCCUUCACCUUGUGUUGAGGCUGAGAGGUGGCAUGCAAAUUUUUGUCAAGACAUUAACGGGGAAAACUAUUACUUUGGAGGUUGAAAGUUCAGACACAAUUGAUAAUGUUAAGGCAAAAAUUCAAGAUAAGGAAGGAAUUCCACCAGACCAGCAAAGGUUAAUCUUUGCCGGGAAACAGCUCGAGGACGGGAGGACUCUUGCUGAUUAUAAUAUCCAAAAGGAAUCAACUCUUCACCUUGUGUUGAGGCUCAGGGGUGGUUUUUGAGCUUGGGUGUGAAAGAUCAGGCGUCUUAAGAAAUCAAGAUUAUAAAUUUUUGUGCUGGUAUAUUACAAGACUGCUGCUUUUCUUGUUUUUGUUCCUUCAAUCACUGGUUUGUGAACAUGUGAAUAAAUUGUGUUGCGUUCAGAUUGAAUAAAAUCAAGUGUUUUUUUGUCUAAGAUGCUGUCAUGAUUUUAGCACAAUAUUUUGCGGAUUGCUGCAGGUGCUUCUGGGAAUAGCCUUGUUGCAUUGAAACUCCAUCUACCGUAUGCAGAUAUCGUUCAUCAGUAGAGGAUUAAUUGAAUUUGAGAUUUCUUUUCCCUACUGUUCAG